rnacentral:tRNA from 1 species
GCCGAAGUGGCUCAGGGGUAGAGCAAUUCACUCGUAAUGAAUAGGUCGUGGGUUCGAUUCCCACCUUCGGCUCCA